AACAAGACGCUCUCUCGAGCGUUAAGUUGCUGGGGCUUUUUAAAUAGGCGCCUGCGUGAUUUGCAACGAGCGGUAAGAGUAUAUUCAACGAAUUCCUAGAUCCACUGAAGAAUUCCUGUUAAUACCCAUGAAGAGAGACCCUGGAAGAAUUUCAAUUUUUACAUUUGACCCCUGAGAAAAUCUCAUUCAAAAUAUCCAUUACCGGAUUACCCACAGGCGGCCCAAUCUCAGAAUGAAUGAUCAGGUGUUGCGGGUUUUUAACGGUUUUUAUAAACAAAUUUUAAAUUGUCAACCAAAACUAUUCUAAAAACAUUCUCAAAUUGGUCAAAUAAAUACAUUUUAACAAUAAAAUAUAGUUGACAUGAUAGUAUAAUACCUUUGCAUUCUUUUAAUUAAUACAUGAGCUCAUUUAGAGCGGUUGAUGUAAUAUUUUCUGUGGCCUACAUUGUGUGUGCUCAUCUAUAUA